rnacentral:rRNA from 1 species
AUAUAUCGGAACGUACCCUGGAGUGGGGGAUAACGCAGCGAAAGUUGCGCUAAUACCGCAUACGAUCUACGGAUGAAAGUGGGGGCUCGCAAGACCUCAUGCUCGUGGAGCGGCCGAUAUCUGAUUAGCUAGUUGGUAGGGAAAAAGCCUACCAAGGCUUCAAUCAGUAGCUGGUCUGAAAGGACGACCAGCCACACUGGGACUGAGACACGGCCCAGACUCCUACGGGAGGCAGCAGUGGGGAAUUUUGGACAAUGGGGGCAACCCUGAUCCAGCAAUGCCGCGUGAGUGAAGAAGGCCUUCGGGUUGUAAAGCUCUUUUGUCAGGGAAGAAACGGUGAAGGCUAAUACUCUUUGCUAAUGACGGUACCUGAAGAAUAAGCACCGGCUAACUACGUGCCAGCAGCCGCGGUAAUACGUAGGGUGCAAGCGUUAAUCGGAAUUACUGGGCGUAAAGCGUGCGCAGGCGGUUAUGUAAGUCAGAUGUGAAAUCUCCGGGCUCAACCUGGGAAUGGCAUUUGAGACUGCAUGGCUAGAGUGUGUCAGAGGGGGGUAGAAUUCCACGUGU